GUGCUUGCUUCAGCAGUACAUAUACCAAAAUUGGAACAACACAGAGAAGAUUAGAAUGGCCUGCACAAGGAUGACACACAAAUUCGUGAAGUGUUGAGAGAGAGA